AACGAACGCUGGCGGCAUGCCUAACACAUGCAAGUCGAACGAGACCUUCGGGUCUAGUGGCGCACGGGUGCGUAACGCGUGGGAACCUGCCCUUAGGUUCGGAAUAACUCCCCGAAAGGGGUGCUAAUACCGGAUAAUGUCUUCGGACCAAAGAUUUAUCGCCUUUGGAUGGGCCCGCGUUGGAUUAGCUGGUUGGUAGGGUAAAAGCCUACCAAGGCGACGAUCCAUGGCUGGUCUGAGAGGAUGAUAAGCCACACUGGGACUGAGACACGGCCCAGACUCCUACGGGAGGGAGCAGUGGGGAAUAUUGGACGAUGGGCGAAAGCCUGAUCCAGCAAUGCCGGGUGAGUGAUGAAGGCCUUAGGGUUGUAAAGCUCUUUUACCCGGGAUGAUAAUGACAGUACCGGGAGAAUAAGCUCCGGCUAACUCCGUG
rnacentral:rRNA from 1 species